rnacentral:tRNA from 1 species
GUGCCUGUGGCUCAAAGGAGUAGGGCAUUGGCCCCAUAUGCCAGAGGUGGCGGGUUCAAACCCAGCCUGGGCCA